UACGUAGGGUGCGAGCGUUGUCCGGAAUUAUUGGGCGUAAAGAGCUUGUAGGCGGUUUGUCGCGUCUGCUGUGAAAUUUCGGGGCUCAACCCCGAACUUGCAGUGGGUACGGGGCAGACUAGAGUGUGGUAGGGGGAGACUGGAAUUCCUGGUGUAGCGGUGAAAUGCGCAGGAUAUCAGGAGGAACACCGAUGGCGAAGGCAGGUCUCUGGGCCACUACCGACGCUGAGAAGCGAAAGCAUGGGGAGCGAACAGG
rnacentral:rRNA from 1 species